rnacentral:rRNA from 1 species
GGGGAUUGCCUCCGUACGGCGAGUGAAGCGGCAAAAGCUCAAAUUUGAAAUCCCCCGGGAAUUGUAAUUUGAAGAGAUUUGGGUCCGGCCGGCAGGGGUUAAGUCCACUGGAAAGUGGCGCCACAGAGGGUGACAGCCCCGUGAACCCCUUUAACGCCCUCAUCCCAGAUCUCCAAGAGUCGAGUUGUUUGGGAAUGCAGCUCUAAGUGGGUGGUAAAUUCCAUCUAAAGCUAAAUACCGGCGAGAGACCGAUAGCGAACAAGUACAGUGAUGGAAAGAUGAAAAGCACUUUGAAAAGAGAGUGAAAAAGUACGUGAAAUUGUUGAAAGGGAAGGGCUUGCAAGCAGACACUUAACUGGGCCAGCAUCGGGGCGGCGGGAAACAAAACCACCGGGGAAUGUACCUUUCGAGGAUUAUAACCCCGGUCCUUAUUUCCAUGUUGCCCCGAGGCCUGCAAUCUAAGGAUGCUGGCGUAAUGGUUGCAAGUCGCCCGUCUUGAACCACGGACCA